rnacentral:rRNA from 1 species
GACGAACGCUGGCGGCGUGCUUAACACAUGCAAGUCGAGCGGUAAGGCCCUUUCGGGGGUACACGAGCGGCGAACGGGUGAGUAACACGUGGGUGACCUGCCUUUAGCUCUGGGAUAAGCCUGGGAAACUGGGUCUAAUACCGGAUAUGACUCCGCGGUGCAUGCUGUGGGGUGAAAGCCUUGUGCGGCUGGAGAUGGGCCCGCGGCCUAUCAGCUUGUUGGUGGGGUGAUGGCCUACCAAGGCGACGACGGGUAGCCGGCCUGAGAGGGCGACCGGCCACACUGGGACUGAGACACGGCCCAGACUCCUACGGGAGGCAGCAGUGGGGAAUCUUGCGCAAUGGGCGAAAGCCUGACGCAGCGACGCCGCGUGAGGGAUGACGGCCU